rnacentral:lncRNA from 1 species
ACUGCUUGAAAGAGAUGUCUUGCCUGUUUCUGCCGGUUAUCAUUCUUUCGUUCUUUUUUUUUUCCUCUCCCCAAGAGCCGUCUCAGAAAAGACCAUAAGUUUGUGACAGAGUGAAUUUGUGAUCUUCUCCAAUCAUCUGGGCUGUUUGCAAAACUUCAAAGAGGUCAUGAAGAACUAAACAAAUUCAUCAGUGUCCUUCUUAAGAUGACUUGAUCCAGAUCUUUCUGGGAUUGCCUGGGGAAAGCUCCUGAAACAGGAUGGAAAGGGUCUGUUUCAGAUAUUUACUGGAACUGAUAUAAAAGAACUGGAUUUUUCUGUGGCCUUUCACAUUGUCAUGAUGUACAGAAGUCUGAUUUCCAUUUCUUGCCAGAGGAAGCAAGCUGAACAUCUCAAGUUCUUUCAACCUUUCUUUGUGUGGCUCAAACCUAACCUUUGGCUCAAGAUCAUCAUGUAU